GGGAUAGCUCGGCGAAAGCCGGAUUAAUACCGCAUACGCCCUGAGGGGGAAAGCGGGGGAUCGAAAGACCUCGCGUUAUACGAGCAGCCGACGUCUGAUUAGCUAGUUGGUGAGGUAAGAGCUCACCAAGGCGACGAUCAGUAGCGGGUCUGAGAGGAUGAUCCGCCACACUGGGACUGAGACACGGCCCAGACUCCUACGGGAGGCAGCAGUGGGGAAUUUUGGACAAUGGGGGCAACCCUGAUCCAGCCAUGCCGCGUGUCUGAAGAAGGCCUUCGGGUUGUAAAGGACUUUUGUCAGGGAGGAAAUCCCGCUGGUUAAUACCCGGCGGGGAUGACAGUACCUGAAGAAUAAGCACCGGCUAACUACGUGCCAGCAGCCGCGGUAAUACGUAGGGUGCGAGCGUUAAUCGGAAUUACUGGGCGUAAAGCGUGCGCAGGCGGUUGUGCAAGUCUGAUGUGAAAGCCCCGGGCUUAACCUGGGAACGGCAUUGGAGACUGCACAGCUAGAGUGCGUCAGAGGGGGGUAG
rnacentral:rRNA from 1 species